rnacentral:lncRNA from 1 species
UAACUGUCUAACCCUUUUCUUCCUCUCCCUUUCCCUCUCCCUCUCCCUCUCUCAAACACAGACACACCAGAAGAGAGUUACACAUCAGGCUUGUCGACUCUUGUUCUUUUAUGUAAUUUUUUCAUAUAUGAUAUUGAAUUUCUACUAUGACUAGUUAGCUGAGCAAACAUCUGAAUUUUUAUUCACUGCGUAUUUUUUUUUUACCAUCUUCUUUAGAUCGGAUUCACUAGCCUUUUAAACCUUCCUUCUUUAUCCGGAAUUGAGAACGGAUAGUUGAUCCUCUUCAGAUACUCCUUUUGUUCUGUUUUGGUUUUUUUUUUUUUGCUUUUUUUUUUUUUUUGUUUUUUUUUUUUCAGAAAUUCAUAUUUCUGCGAGUUAGUAUAUAAAAACCUUGUCUUUUCUCGGUGGAUUAAUUUAACUUAUCCAACAAAAGAAGAUAAGUUUUAAUCGAUGCUGGAAUCAACACGAUAUUCGAUACAUAUUAAGAACUUCUGCGUUUUAUUAAUAGGUUACUUUUUUGUAGUCAUUUUCUGUGAUAGAGAUAUAUAUUAAAGCAAUUUAAAAAAUAUGUUAUUUAAAUUAUAUCCAAAGUUAUUGAAAAAGGGGUUUUUAUUUUUGUUCUUUUGUGGCUUAUUCAUUGAUAAUGGGCCACAUCAGCCUCAUGCUGGUGGCUUUCUUGCCAGCUGAUUUCUAUGAGUGACGGGUGUUUGAACACCCACACCCGCACAUAAAACUUACUCUGCAAGAUUUUUCAGAACUCAAUAUCUUGGUGAUAUUUUGCAUACUCUUAUAUAAUUGGUCGGAAAUCAAGAUCGAGCAAAUGAAGAUUUUGGAUGAAUAUUGACUCAACUCUAUUGUUCAACUUCAAUCGUUCUCAGUAGAACUCGGAGGCACUUAUAGUUGAAACGGCUUGUCAACAGUCGUCGUUUGCUGGUGCAGCAUCAUCAAGAUUCACAUGAAAUGCAAGGUGGUGAUUUCGUCUCUCUCCUCUAUCUCUCACUGCCAUAGCUUUUUGGUGGUGAGAAUCUUGAUGAUGCUGCAUCGGCAAUAAACGACUAGCAAAUCAAUGGAAUUGUCUGUCACAGCUUUCCAUGACUCCUUUGUAUCAUUAACUAGGUAAAAGCUCACUAUUUUUCAGUUAUUUAUGUGAUUCCGCCAUAUGGGAUUUUGGUAUUUUUUGUGUUAGUUUAUGUGAAUUCUUGUAAAAAUAAGUUAAAAUCUUGUUCAUAAAAUGCAUAUUGGAUAUACCAGUACCACACUGGAUAUUUUCUUUAAUAUUGUUCUCUUUCUUUACCAAGUAAGUUAUAAUUGUAUACCAAACAUUAUUUCAUUUUUAUUAUUUAUUUUUUAUUGAAAAAAAAACAUUGUUUCAUUUUUGUGUGUAAGAGUGAGGUUAUUCAUUUUUGUAUCAGUUCUUCGUAGAAGUGACUGCUGAAGGGAUUCACUCUAUUGAUCGAAUUCAUAGACCUGUGAUUAUUCUUGUGCAGAAAAAGUCUUGAUGGAAUCUUUAAUACAAAGGAAUAUUAUCAGAAGCCAAAAACUUUGGAGAAAUUCUUUAUUAAGGAUGUUGCACAAAUAAAUUAAUUUAAACAGGUGAUUAUUUUUCAUUUUUGUUUAGUUUAUCCACAUUCAUUAUUGGAUAUUUACAUUGCUCAUUGCUUUUUCUUUUUUUUUUUUCCCCCCAGAAAGUUUUUGAUAUGUUGUUUCUCAUACCGUGGAUGAUGGACACAUGACAUGUUAUUAGACAAGAAUUUGCAGUGCCAAAAACAGGUGAGGCCACCUUCUAAUCUUUUUAUUAUUCUCUAAUGACACGACAUUAAAUCGAAGUGCACUUAAUCAACUAAACAUUAUCGACAAAAUCUUUCUCUUACACAAUGAGGCAGUAUCGUUAAACACGCUUUAAAUGCUUGUAGAUAUUGAACAAGAUUGAUUUUGCCUUCUUUUGACAAAUUUAUAAAUGAUUUAUACAGAGGAAUAUUAGUGUAUGCCACAAAAUGUGUUCACUAUAAUAAGUAGUAGCUAUUAAUACGUGGUUGAAUUUAAUUUUUGACUUCGAUCCAUCUUAUUAUAAAAUAUAAAUCAUUUGUAAAUUUGCAUCCAAACUGAGAGUUUUAUGUUUCUUGGUCAUAUCUAAAGGAGAUUCAAAUUAAAUUUGAUUGUUUUAUGGACAUAAUUCAAAGUGGAGUGUUUUCUUGUGAACAAAUUAAUGGAUUCUUUGAAAAUUGCAACUUUUCUUGGAAAAAUUCAUGAUAGUACUGCCAUUGUUGGAGCUUGAUUGCUCUUAACACUUAUCACCAUCAGUCCAGUUAAGUGGACCUACGUGUUGCGACUUGGCAUGUACUCUCCCUCAGAGAAAUUUUCAGUCCACCAAUUUCUCACCUCUAAAUAAUAGUACCAAUUAUCUUCAUUUUGCACCAUUUUUGACAAUGAUGAUUCGGACAAUUUAUUUCAACACCUAUCUAUGUUUACUCUUAUUAAAUUUCAGGUUUGAAUCAUUUUGUGACAUUCCAUUACGUGUUUAAAUAUCAAAUUAAGAUAAACAAACAAAUAUACUUGACCUAGAUUAACGAGAAAAGUUAAUAUUUUUUAUAUUUGUCUUAAUGGAAAAUUUUAUUCACAUUGUAGGUGAGAUUACAAAUUGUCGAUGGUUUAACACUAAAGUGUGUCGGAAUGGGUGUAAAUAUAUAAAAUAAUUAGAUGAAGUGGUUUAACACUAAACUAUCGAGCAUGUUGUGCCAGUAUAUUAACUGAGUGAUUUGUGUGCAAUGAAAAAAUUAGCAAGGGAAACAAGCCAAAGAAAUACCCGUAUAAUAUAAACUAGAAUAAGUAAUACAUUAGGAUUUAAUUUCCCGUAUUUGAUAAUUUCCUUUCUAAAUUAUUUGUUUGAGAUAAUUGUAGCAAAAACUUCAAACCUUUGAAACACUAAUUGACUUUUCCUAAAUCUUUCAAACACUACAGUCGUCAACCCAAACUUUUCAACCAUUGCAUCACAGGCCUUUUUGGAUUGUUUCCUUCCAGUCCGUCGUCAGUUUAAAAUUAAUUUUGAACACAUUUUGAUCAAAUGAGAGCAAAAUGUUACUUCCAUAUUUAUCACAUUAAAGAAUUAAAAUAAUUAAAUUACAAAACAAAAAAAAAACAAAAAAGAAAUGAAACGGAAAAGCCAAUCUUUCUUCUACCUAAAUCCAUCCCGCCCUUAAUGUCUACAACCGCUAGCGACUAUCGACGUCAUUGCAAAGCUUCAACACCAUUACUCCACACUCACUCAUCACUACCACCGCAAACCAACUACCAUCAUCGCUACCAUCGAAUCCAACAUUACCGUCAUCCCCAAAAAUUGCCACCCCCAUCUCCCGACCAAAAAUCAAACCCAAGCAAUAAAAUCAUUCGUCACCUCAGCCAUCAGCCAUGAACCACAAACACACAAACCGUACAUACUAUUGGGCAAACGACAAUAUAUAUAUAGAUCAAACUCCAAAGCAUCAAGAAUCGCACAUUUUUUCUAAAAAUUCUAAUAAAUCCAACAAUACUCACGGUCACGCACUAUUGUCAGUCGGUAAGCCUCAUCUAGGCAAAAGUUCAUUUUGAAACAUCAUCAAAAAUAGUUCUAGUCUGUCGUACCGCAAAACGAAGUCAAUCAGCCUCAUUCAAUUCAUCGGUUGGAGUAGAGGAAUAAGAAUGUGUUUUACGAGGUGGUUGAGAAGUGGAAGUAGUAUGCGUGCAACAUUUUGCGCUGUUGAUGGCACUGAUGAUGACUAGGUGGUAUUGGUUUUUGUUUGGGGUGUGAGGUGUAGGGUUUUGGGUGAAGACGAUAAAUAUUUUUAUUUUUCUUCAUUUCCUUUUUUAUUUUUUUGUAUUUAUUUACUUUAAUUAAAUAAUGUAGUAAAUUGAAAGUUACUAUUUUACCUUUUAUAAAAUUAUAAAAAAAUGUCCAAACUCACUUUUGGGUCAACUAAUAGAAAUAUGAAUGAAAAUCAUCCAAAAGAUUUGAGUGACAGCUAUAACGUUUGAAAAGUUUGGAGAAAGCCUGCUAAUAUUUCGAAGAUUUGGAGCUUUUGCUGCAAUUAUCCCUAUUUGUUUAGAUAAGCAACUUCUAUCCUUUUUUUUCUAAGGAGUUCAAUGUAAAAUAGGAGUAGGGUUUUUUUAGUUACAAAAUCACUACUGAUUUUUAUUAUUGAGAUAUAUUGAGUUCCUCUCUUCUUUGUCUAUGUUGUUCACUUUAAUUUUAAAUACACUGCACAUAAUAAGUAGUUAACUUUUUUAUUUUAAACUGAACCAGCUAACUUUAAGUUCGAAUGUUAUUUUGUCUCUAACAACAAGUUGUUUGUUAAUUCUUCUACAUGAGUCGAUUAUGACUUUCUUUUAAUCCCUUUCAACUGGAAAAAUAUGAUAGCAAAAUCGAAUUUGUUUAAUAUCUUUUCUAGAGUGCUG